CAUUCUGUGCCUGCUUUAUCUGCCAAUCGGUGAAGAAGCUCAGGAAAAUAAACAGACAAUGAGGAAUGUAUCAGUGAAAAUAGUAUAUUUCAAAAGUGUGACAUUAACAGAUUACAUGCGGGUGCUAAAUAGUUACUUGGCAACGGUCUUUUUUUUUGUCUGUAGUACAACUAAUACAAAAGGGACUUGUAUAAUUGAGAUGUUGAAAUGCAGGGCCUAUCACUCAUGAACCUUUCACAAGUAAUGCUUUCGUUCCUAAUGGGAGCAUCAAUUUACAUGCUUCACACAGCAGUUACAUUAACAGCAAAAUGAAGACAUAUGAGGUGCAACAAAACAACACCGUUUUUUUUUUGUUUUUCCAUCUUCCAAAACUUGUGCUCCUUUUUCUACCUUUUAUAAUAAAAAGGAAACAACUGACCUUUUUAAAACCACAUGGAAUUAGAAGGUUUUGGUUACCGAUGCAAGCAUGUUUUGUGGAUCAUUGCAGAAUUGGAGGACAUUUUGGAUUCAGAAUUCGGGAAAAUGAAACCAUCACCUUUCUGCUACAUAUUCAUCAAUAACAGGUAAUAAACGAUCAAAGACUUGAUUGAUAAAUGGUAUGAUUUUUAUAACAUGAUUUAUUCGGUGUUUACAGUACAUGUCAUUGUAAUCACAGUAACGGGGUUGCUGGUCGAACGGAGUAGAGGCUGGAUUUUUAGCUAGCAGUCACUGCUGUUGAAAAGGACGCAUUUUCUUCUGUAAAUAGGUAAAGAUUUGAGAUUCUGAUCAUAUGCAUAACAGAGUUGCAUGAGUGCGAGUAUAUCAUGUGAUUCACUGCUUUCCUCUUCUUCUACCAUGCUAAAAGGUUUAUGCUAACAGGGUUGCGUGCACGUUUGGAGACAUGUUCCAUGAAUAACCAUUACUAUUUAAAAUAUUCAUUUAUUUUUUAAAAAAUUGGUUCCACAAUGAUAAGAGACAACAAAGAAAUAGAUCAUAUUAACCCUUUCAUGCACCCCGUAGCCUGAUAACACGACGAGCCAGCCACUGUGCUAAGGGUUAAAAAAAAAACAACAACAACGAAAUUUGAACUUCAUACUUAUUUGGUACAGUUUUAAAAACUUUUCUAUACAGUAUAUAUUUUUUAUGUUUAUUUAUUUAUUUGGUCUCCGCACAAGUAAAUUUACUCAUGUACGGUACUUAAAUUGCUUUAUUUUGCAUUGUAUAUGUGGAUUAUUUAAAAUUUGAUGGGUGGGACGUAAAAUAUCCUCCAAUUCUGGGAUGAUCCGGAUACAUUUCACAACUAACGGUGUUGAGGUUGGUAGCCACACAAAAUAAGCACAAGAACGUUUCUGGGUUAAGAAUUAAAAAAUCUAUCCAAUAAAAUAAAAACAAA